UUUAAUAGUAUCAUAUUAAAAUAAUAUAUAACAAGUUAUUUGUUAUAUCUUUAAGAAAAAAAACAAGUUGUUUAUUAGUAAAAUGAUGAUCAUCAAUUUUAGUAUAGUAUUUUCCAGUAUACAUACAUACAUUGAUACAUACAUAUAAAUUCUUGAUAUAAAUAUGUAUAAGUUGGUAUUUGGUGAGCUUUUAAUGGUAAAAUUAAAUUUAAACUUCUCUAUAUUGGGAAAGAAAAAAAACCAAAAAGAAGAGAAUAAUAUCAUGGGGAUGAAGAUAGGGAUUGUGAGAGCCACUGCCUUCACAAAUCUCGGCAAUAAGUAACGUAUGUCAUCACUCCAUUAUAUAACACCUAACUCCAAACGGUAUCCGUAUACUUAGGUGUAUUAAUAUGGUACAUAUAUAGAUAUUGGACCGUCACAAAAUAUAUAUAUAUAUAUAUGGAGUAUAUAUAUAUUGGACCACGCAACUAAAUAAAUAUGCACGAUUAUGUGUUUUUAUGUUUUUCCCAAAUAAUACACUAAAUAAAAUUAUAUUGAACUUAUAUGUUAGAUAAUCAUAUCUAAUCUUUCAUAUGGGAUUUAGAAUGAUAUUUUAACAUUUUUCCACAAGUUAAAGACAGUUGUCAUAAUCAAAGAAAUACUAUGUAUUAUAAGACAUACUUCACUAUUCAUAAUCUCACCAGAUUAGCAUGCGUCAAACUAUGUGGACAUAUUUUUGUUGUUUUGAAGCGAGAAUGGUUUGUACACGACUAAUUGGACUAAUACAAGUAGUUUGCAUAUAACCGAGUUCCAUUUAAGUUACAAUGCAACAUUGCAGAAACGACGACAUUCAGAUAAUUUUAGGUGACGUUUUUGUAACACAAAUUUUUAAUGGACGGAUGGAAAACCCAUUUAAGUGAGUGACUAUAUAUAAAUGUCCUAAGUCUCAAAAAGUGUAGCCGUAAUUUCUCAUAAUGAAGUUGGAAACUAAGAGAAGUACCAAAACAAGACAACAGACCAACAAUGAAAAUGGUGGUUGUUCUCCAUUCAAUCUAAGCUCUCUCAAACAUGCGAUCGAGGCCAGAGAUGCUGCGAAGGAUAGUUCAAUCAAUCUAUCGUCGCUCUGAUAACCCAAAUGAUAUUUUCUUUUUUAUUUUGUGUUGCAAAAAUUUGAUAUAUAUUUUAAUGCAUGUGAGUGAUGUAAGGGUAUAAUACACUAAUGAACAUAAGCGUGUCCAGAGGUAGUAUUGAAAAUGUGGUCCAUACAAUUAUGUUUGUGAACAUGGUGGCAAGAACGGCCAUAUACAUGACCUCGUCUGACAAAACAAAGUUUACCAUGAAUUGUUGGUAAGGUUAGAUCUAGAGUCUGAGUUUUAGUUAUUUCAUGUUUGAAAUAAUGGAUAAUAUAUGUAUUAUCUCAAAAAAUACAUAUAUUAUCCAUUAUUGCAAACAGUAAUAUAGGGAGAACAGAAUAGUACCAUACAGUUUAAGAUUACAACCAAAAUCGGUGCAUUCGUCAUGACUCCAGACACUCGUAGCUAUAAUAAAAACAAAACACGUUAUCUUUAAACUACUGAAAUGCUAAUUAAUCGAAAUAAAAAUCGUUUAAGGUAUUAGGUUUAGUUGAUACCAAAGUAUUAAGAGCACCGGCUUUGAAAUGAUGUGGUGAAACUUUACUCUUCUCUCUUGAAACAUAGAUUAGGUUUGGCAUUAUAUACUUUUUGGUAUUGUCCAUAUCUGUCUCACUAUUUUGCAACACCUAUCGUCAAAUUAAUUAGAAUUGAGAUUUAAUUAUAUAAAGAUAUUAGAAUCACAUGUUGCAAACUAUUGUUCUUAAGAAUUUUUUUUUUUUUUUAAAUAGUAUAUGGACCCUGACAAUGCAAAUUCUUAGAAGUACCUGAAUAAUUGUGGGAUGGUCAUGACGAGUGAAUUUGUCGGUCCACAAAUCGAAUACCCCACGAAAUUGAUCGUAUGUGAUAAAUGCAGUCUCAACUUUUCCACUCUUCACCACAUGUUCUACUCUACUCUUCAUGUCUUCAUACAUCAUCUGUUCCACCUCACACUUUAAUAUGUUUGUCUCAUGGCUUUUUAAAAAUUCAAAGAAAUACAGACUUAAUUACUAUACUUAUAAUAUCAUUAAGACAGCUAAUACUCCUAUCGUUUAGGAUAAAUCAUUAAAAUGUCAUGGAUGUUUAACAAUAAUAAAUGAUUAGGAAAUAUCAUGGAUGUACUCAGUCUCCAAAACUCUUGGGGUCAGAAAGGACAUAAUCACCAUUAUUGUCGACAAGAAUGCUAUGAUGGACAACAACAUGUCAACAUUCACUCGUCAUGACCACCCCACAAUUAUUGAGGUAUUUAUAAAUAUAUUUAAAAUUGAAAUUGCAUUCUAAUUUACUAUUCCCUCCGUAUUUGAAUAAAUGUCGUUCUAGCAUUUUUUCUGUGUUUUUAAUUAGUUGUCAUUUUAACAACUUUUACAUAAAAUUUCCUAAAUUACCCUCAAUUAAUUUAUCAUAAUUAAUCAGUCUAAAUUACCAAAACUACAGAUACGAAUCGAUUUUCAUAAAAUUCUGUGCCAUUUCUUAAUUGAUUUAAAAAAUAUAAAAUAUAAUUGUAAAUAAUCGUUUCUCAUAAAGUUAGUUUUGUAAUUCUGUGCCCUUUCUUAAUUCACCCAAAAAUAGUUGAAACGACAUUUUUUCAAAUACCGAGGGAGUAAGAACUUGCAUUGUCAUUGUCUGUUGCUACACAUUUUAUUUUUAUUUGUCGUUAUAAAGUACUCGUUCCAUCCAUGUAUUUUUUCCUCCAUUUAUAUCAUGAUUUAUAAUUUACCCUCGACGAAAGACUACUAAAGGAAAGAACUUGACAAUCAUUGGAACAGUCUUGAGGGGUUUCCCCACUUAUUGUUUAAACGAGAAGACUCAUAAAAUUGUGUUUGACCUACGUAUGCGCAUUUGUCGAAAUUAAAACUUAAAAAUCGUACUAAACCUAAUUAUAAGUUAUUAGUUGAUAAAUAAUAUACAUAUAUACCUUAAUAUUUUCAGCUUCACCACUCCGAGAAUCUGACUUUGAAGAGAAAUAAACUGCAGGAGACCGAUCUUGAACAUUGUUCUUCUUGCAAAAGGGCAACCAAUGCUCAGAGAAUUUAGCAGCCUCCAUAAGAGCAAACAAAGUCAACGACGAUCCUCCAUCGUCCGAUACAUAGACCGAGAUCUUAUCGGACGGAUAUUCAUAUGCCAUCACAGAUAAAGCGGUGUUAACCACCAUCAUCGGAGGCUCCUUGUACGGAUCAGCCGUGCAUAUAAACACGUCCAGCUUCGGAAAGUCCUCCGGUUUAGCUGCAUAUUUCUCAGGGUACUCGGUCCGAUGAACCGGGUUUAACCGGAGGGAAGUUGUGGUUACCCAUAUGAAGGUGAGAACCAUAUCGGAGAGGAGAAGAAGACAUGUUAUAAGAGUGUUGUUUGCUGUGAGAAGUGAGUGUACAUGGUGAUACAUGAGAGCUAUGAUGCCACACGUGUGAAAUACGGCGUAGAUUCUGUAUGGAAUGGUGCGCCCGCACGGAUAACACGUGUGGAGGAUUGCGCCGACGACCGAGUGCUUUCUAUGAGGCUCCAUCGUUUUAGUUACUCUUUUUUACAAAUAGUUUUUGGAGAAGACUGGUAAAGUCAUCUCUACUAGAUUGUUGAUAUUUAUAGCCUUAUAUGCGAGUUUCGUUGUAAAAAAGAGUCGAUAUGUUUACCCGACAAUUUUAGGAUUUCAACAGUGUCACAAAAUGAAUGGUUAAUCUAUGUAAUGUAAGCUAAUUACGGUUUAGUUCCUUCACUAGACUAUUACUGAAGUUUCUUUUAAACUUAACCAUUUUUUAAUUUUUAAAAUAUAUGUUUAAGCUGAUAGCUUAAUUGUAUCCUAUAUUAAAAUAAUUAAAAUUUAGUUAUUAGUAAAAUUGUGUGCAAGCAAAUGAAUAUACAUGCACACAUACAUAUAAAUAAAGGAAAGAUGGUAUUUGUUGAAAAUAUAAAACUCCCUCAUGAAUAAAAAAGGAGAAAAAAACCACGUGGUUGAAAAUAGGGGUUGUGAGAGCCACUACGGCACUGCCUUCACAAUGUAUUGGCGUCGGCGAGAGAGAAGAGAUGAAAAAAAAGCUAUGUACGUACCAUUUUUUUUGUACCUCAUAAUGUCGUAAUCUAACACCUAGCAAUAUUGAUGUAUAUGUUCCAAUUAUUAGUCUAGAUUCACUGUAAACUGGUACAAGUAUAAACCUGUCAAUUUUAUCUUUGGUUUAGAGGUUCGGUUUACCUCACUUUAAUUUGAUUUGGAAUCUGUUUAUGAUGAACCGCCCAUCACCCAAGAAAUGACCAAUCAUAACCUAGAUUCAAAUAUGGUAGUGGUGCGCUAAUUGUAGACAAAAACUAAAUAUUAAGAAGAAUUCAUCACAUUGCUCUCUCUUGCUUCAGUUUAAGCAAGAUGCAUUCAUAGCAUUAUUGUUGAAAAUUAACCCUAAUGGCUAAUGGUGAAGCGUUUUAGUUUUUUGAUAAUGACCUAAUGGUGAAGUUACUUGAGGAGGAAGUAGCAUGACCCUGUAAGAACAAAAGUGAGGAGCCCAGCUAAGAAACAAAUCCUUGAUGUUAAUUUUCCGUCAUCGAUCCUCAACACCAUGGCUUCAUAGAUCGGUAAGCAAUUUACCACCACGAAACUCGCCAGCAUCAGUUCAAGGACGGGUCCUUCUCCCCAAGUGAAAAUAACAUAAAUUCCCCAUACAAAAGCAAGUAGAUUCACUAUGGCGACCGUAGUCAUGGGCAAGAACAUGGACGAAGAGGGCCCGAAAUCAAAGAUCUCUUGCUCGUACCGCUUCAUUUGUUCAUUAUCGUCGUUGGCUUUACUGGUGACGUUGAAUCCUUGAGUCGAGAGGUUUAGGGUUUUGAGAGUGAACUCUGUAAAACCAAAGAAGAAAGAAGAAAGUCCUCUUACCAUCCACAUCCUUUGAUCGUUCCACCAUUUCCGAUAAGUUCCUCCUUCUAAUAAAAAGUCUGAUAGAUCUUGCCCGUAUCCACCGAGAAACAAGCUGAUGUAAAGCCAAAACCACGGAUCCGAUGCCUUGGGGAAGACGCUAAAUCCAUGUAUGAGGGCAACUUGGGGUAAAAGUCCAUAGACGACGAGAGGAAUUGACCAAAACGGCCAAAAUGCAUAGUGGCAAUAGCCUAAGCUCAUUAAUAGGCUCAGUGACUUCAAUCCAUAGGUAAUUGGGUUGUACCUUGAAAAAGUUACUUCAAGAAGUCCAACGGACCAUCGGAUUUGUUGGCCUAUUAUAUCAGUUAGGCAUUUUGGGGACUCUCCAUAAAAUGCAGCCUUUUUAGGGCUGCAAAAUACUGAUCUCCAUCCUUCACAAUGGAGCAUAAAUCCUGUGUAGUAGUCUUCUACUAAUGAGCCGUACCUGAACCCUAUCUGUAAAGUUUUGACAAAUAGAUUAAUUGUGUAACACUACAACUUUUGUAACAAACAAAUAUGUUUUUUUUUAUUCUAGCCAAUUAAUAACAUCUUAUGUUUGAGUUUUUUUUUUUUUUUUUUGAAAAAGAUCUUAUGUUUAAUUAGUUAUUGAAUAAAGAAGUUUUAGUUUUUGAUGGCUAGGAAGUAAUAACAAUACAAUGUCACAGAAAUCAAGAUUGGAGCGUCGAUUGUUUCAAACGAAAUGUUGUUUGCUUUUACAUGUGAAUACACGUAUAAAUGCAAACAUUUUUUUUUUUCAUUUUUAUGUGUGUUUGGUGUUUAUGUUGAUUACACAUGAAUUUUGCUAAGAUGUUUAUAAAUAUGAAUUUUGAGAAGACUAGUUGAUGUAAAGAAACAAAAAAAAUGUAAACUUUACCAAACAAUCAACAUACAUAAAGCUAAGGUUCAUUGUUAUCUUACCUUGGAUCCCCAAUUGGUGUUGCGCUCGUAGUUACAUCCUGCUACAUCGUGUGCCAACGCCAAAAUAUCUUGGUUCUUAAUGGACAUAUCGACAAUCCGAUUUGGUCCAAGUUUUUCUAUCUCAGGCAAAAUCAAACUAGCGGGAGGCCCAUAAAAUGCCCGUCGAUUGAAGAAACACCCAGUUCCCAUAUGAACUGGGCCCGUAAGUCCAUCAAACCCAAUCGUGUUGAUGUCAAAUGGGCGUUUGAGCUCCGAUGCAUAAAUAUCAUUUUUGUUUAUUCCUUGAAAUUUUUGAGGAAAUUGCACAAAUCCUAAACCAAAAUUGAUUUUAGGAUCUGACAAAUAGCAUAGAGCAUGAAGUGGUGUUGUAGGAUUGUUUGAGUACAUGUCACAAUCUAGUGUUAGAAUGAUUGGUGAGUUUGUCAUCACGGCAGAUACUCGUAACUACAAUGAAAACAAAACUUGUGGUUAACGAAAUAUUAUUUAGAAAUGACAGUUUAACCAAGCCAAAAUUUGUCAAGUUAGGGAUUAGUUGAUACCAAAGUAUUAAGAGCACCGGCUUUAUAAUGAUGUGGUGAAACUUUACUCUUCUCUCUUGAAACAUAGAUUAGGUUUGGCAUCAUCUCAUCUGUUUCGUUGUGUUGUAGCACCUUUCCCACAAAUUAAUAGAAAAAAACGAGUUCUUAUUAAUUGUAGAAACUUUUGUUUCUAAAAUAAAACACUCAAAUACACUUUCUUUAUAUGAUACGAUGCGAUACAAAACAAAAUGAGUUAUAAUAAUACCUGAAUAAUUGUGGGAUGGUCAUGACGAGUGAAUUUAUCUGUCCACAAAUCGAAAACCCCACGAAAUUGAUCGCAUGUGAUAAAUGCAGUCUCAACUUUUCCACUCUCGGCCACAUUUUCUACUCUACUCUUCAUGUCUUCGUACAUCAGCUAUUAACACCACACAAUUUUAAGCAAAUAUAUAUAUACUCAUAUCGUUUAGGAGAAGAAAUCAUUGAUAUAUCAUGGAUGUUUAAACAUUACAAUAAAUGAAUAGGAAAUAUUAUGUGAUACAUGUCACAGUAUCCCAAACUCUUGGGGUCGUAAAGGACAAAAUCGCCAUUAUUAUUGUCGACAAGAACCUAAGGCUAUGAUGGACCAAAUUGUUUCAUAAAAUAUUUGGUAUGUGUUUCAGUUUCUCCCUCUCUUUUUUUCAACCAUUUUUCCCCAAAUUUUUUUAAUCAAACAUUAUUUCCAUUUUCUCUUGAAAGCUCCAGUUUCAAAUUACUGAUUUAUAUUUAACUCAUAAUUGAUACAUAUCAAGGAAGCUAUACCAUAAAGAAAUAUUGCUUAUGGUGCACAUGAAUUAUUCGAUUUUAGUAUACUUAAAGAGAACAACUAAUAUAUAGUUGAAUAGCAAAAUAGGUGAAUCCUGAUAUAGCAUAACCAAUAGAACGAUAACAUUUAUAAACUGAAUAGAACUGAUUCUUUUAAAACGCCAAAAACUAUUAUUUAGUAGAUGAAUAAAAUUUCAAGAUUAACAAAAAAAAAGUUUUGACAAAAAAAAUAUACAUGAAAGUGUCUCUAAUUUAGUUAUAAUUUUAAAACGUGUGAGAUAUACUGAAAUGUCACUUGUUAUUUUCAUGUGUUAUCAUUCAUCACAAGUUUUUACGGAUAUUAUAUAUUCGGCAAAAUCAUGUUUUCGAAACGUGACGUUGAAAAACUCGCAAACCAUUCAAACCCAUAAUUUUUUUUAAAACUAUUAUGGCUUCAAUUGGUAACCAUAAUUUAGAAAAAGAAUGAGAAUGAAUGUGAUAUUCCUCUUUGUUCCUCAAUAUUUUUACCAUUUACAAGUAAUAUUUUUUCCACAUCAUUCCUCUACAUUCCUCACCAAAAGAGGAACACUAGAACAAAAAUGUUCCUCUCCAAAAUUGAUGAGGAACAAAAUGGAACAAGAAAGGAACAAAUAUUAAAAUUCGUUUUUAUUUUAAAAUAAAAAAUAAUAUUUAUCAAUAAUAUUUGUAUUUUAUUAUAUAAUAAUUUUCAUAUCUUUACAAUAUAUUAACAGAAAAAAAUAUUUUUGAUAAGAAUUUUAUGCUGAAUUACUCUUAAGUCUUCAUUUGAAAAUUAUAUAAAUAGUAAAAUAAAUUUAAAAGUGUUUAUAUUGUAAAAGAUUAAUAUAUUUUAAAUUACUCUUUCAAUUUUAUUUUAUGUUAAUAUUAAAUAUUAUUUAAAAUGAUAUAUAUAUAUAUAUAUAUAAAUUUAGCUCACUAAUUUUAGUUUCAAAUUAAAUAUAAAAUUCAAUAAAUAUAAAAAAUAUUUAGUAUUUUUCAUUGAAAUUUGAUUCAUUUACUAUUUAAUAUAUCUUUAAAGAUAUUUUUAUUGUUUGGUUACCAUUCAUCAUAAUAGUACAUUUUAUUCAUUCUCUACAUUUUUUCUUUUUUGUUCAUCAAAAAUUAUUUGUUCCAUUCCGCAUUGUUCUUUUUAUUCAGUUUUUUUUUGUUCUUUUAAUGGUUACCAGUCGGAGCCUAUGUACAUUUUAACUAAUAAUAAUGAAUUUUAAAUUUCAAAAAGUAUUGAUUUAAAAUAAUUAAAAUUUUGAAACACUAUUGGUUUAACGAAAAUUGAAUCAGUACACAAAAUUAAUAUAUUUGUAAUUAAAUAUUAAUUUUUUGUGUGUGAAAACUCAAAAUUUCAUUAUCUAGAAACAGAAGGAUAGUAUCAUUUUAGAUAACUAUACUCCAAUCGUUUACGAGAAAUCAUUUAGAGGAAAUCUAACACAAACCCUGGCUUCUUUUUGUCUAUUUGGACAAAAUUGGCAUUAUCGGCGACAAGAUGUACGAUAAGGUUGGAUUGACCCUUCAACACACCACUGGCUUCUUUUUGUCUGUUUCUUCUACUCAGUUUUAUUUAUUUGUCAUUAUGAAUGAUUCCUUCUCCAUUACAGAUAUAAAUUCUCGUUUUUUUGGUCCCAUUUAGUUUGUUUUGCCAAAAAGCAUGUUAUUCCAUAAUUAAAAGUAAUGAAAAUGAAUUACAAUUAUGAAAGACAAUGAGAGAAAUUAUGAAGUAAGCUAAGUGUUAACAAUUCUUGGAAGUUGGAACAGCUGUGGCGGUUUUAAAUCAUUUUUUAGUACGAGAACUAAGAGAUUUUUAUCCAUAAUUAGAAUCUUUUAAAUGAGGAUUUUAACUGUAAAAUAAUAAUAAUUUUAAUAUAAUUUAGUUAUAUAAUUAAUAUUAAAUUUGAAGAAAAUGAACCACUUGUAAUAAGACAAGUGUCAUGAGUUUUUCAAAGUUUUAAAUGGGAAAGCCAUUUCAUUUUCUCAUUUUUUGUUUAUUUUUUACUUUUUUUUUUAAUGUAGAAAACUCAUGUGAGCGACCUUUGAUCGAGGUGUUCUAAGAGCAUGAUUAUCCAAAGACUCUUAAUAAUGGCUCUUAUCUACGUGACACAUCUUAACUCUCAAAAUGUUUCUUAGCUAAGAAACGUUCCUUAGUUAUAUUCAGCAUUUUCAAUUUAAUUUAAAUUAUUUAUAAACCUAAGAGAAUCAUUAAGCAACUACCGAUAAUCAUGCUCUAAGUCUCUAACAGUAGUAAGAAUUGUGUUGGCCUACGUAUGCCGUAUGCGCAUCAGUUGAAAGAAAGAAAAAAAUAUACAAAACCUAAUUAAUUAUACGUUUAUAAGUUAUUGGUUGAUAAGCGAUACAUACCUUAAGGUUUUCAGCUUCCUCACUCUGAGACUGUGACUCAGAUGAGAAAUAAACUUCAGGGGACCGAUCUUGAACAUUGUUAUUCUUGCAAAAGGGCAACCAACGCUUAGAGAACUUGGCAGCCUCCAUAAGAGCAAACAAAGUCAAUGAAGAUCCUCCAUCGUCCGAUACAUAGACUGAGAUCUUAUCGGACGCAUAUUCAUAGGCCAUCACAGAUAAGGCGGUGUUAACCACCAUCAUCGGAGGCUCCUUGUACGGAUCAGCCGUGCAUAUAAACACGUCCAGCUUCGGAAAAUCCUCCGGUUUAGCUGCAUAUUUCUCAGGGUACUCCGUCCGGUGAACCGGGUUUAACCGGAGGGAAGUUGUGGUUACCCACAUGAAGGCGAGAACAAUAUCGGAGAGGAGAAGAAGACAUGUUAUAAGAGUGUUGUUUGCUGUGAGAAUUGAGAGUACAUGGUGAUACAUGAGGGCUAUGAUGCCACACGUGUGGAUUACGGCGUAGAUUCUGUAUGGAAUGGCGCGCCGGCAGGGAUGACACGUGUGGAGGGCCGUCGAGUAUUUUCUCCGAGGUUCCAUCUUUUUAAGGAAGGCAACUGGUUUUUCGAGAAAAUAAUGACCACAAAUAUAUAAAUAGGACUUAUAUAUAGGCCAGUUUCUUUGGAUUGAUUAUUUCUCUGAUGAUAUAUACACACACACACUAUAGAUAGUACUUAUAUACACUAUAUUUGUUUAUAUGUUAGGAUAAAUUCGUAGGUAUAAAAAUAUAUAUAACAAUUACUGAUGUAAAUAUUUGGAUUUUGAUGAUUGAAACCCACAGAUUAUAAAACCAUUAAUUCCUUGAUUUUAUAAAAUAUUUAUCACCAAAAACAAAAGUUAAAUAUUUACUUAAUUAAUAUAUGUACUUGAUACUCCCACCAAAAAAAUAUGUACUUAAUACUUCAAUAGUUUAAAAAUAAAAACAUUAAUAUAAAAUUUUAAAAUAACUGUAAACCAGUUAUAUUGUAAAAAACAAUUUACAAUAUUAUUGGUUUAGAGUUAUAGAAAAACAAUGGAAUAAAAAACUAAAAAAUAUAUCUUUUUGAAACAAAAAUCUUUUCUAAAACUUGGACUAAUUAGGAACAAAGGGAGAGGGAGUAACAUAUGUUAUAUUUUAAGUAAUUAAUCUUUUGUCACAUGUUGGAUUUUAGUGAGACGUGUGGAAUUUUAUCUUAUACAAUUUGAAUUUUUCAAUGGAGAAGUUAAGUUGAAAUUCUCUAACUUGAAAAUGAUGCGAAACUAUCAAAUGGAUGAAGACUGGGGCUUGGAGAGUCACUGCCUUCACGAUUCACGUCACGCAUAUCUGCCAAGUGCCAACUUCUUAACUUCUUGCAAAAUAUCGAUUGUGGACAACUGUACUUCCACACAAUCGUACAUAAAUGUGUACAUAAAGAGUCGUAUAACACUUUUAAUAAAAAUGUGAUAGAAGUUUCCAUUAAGUAUGAUAAAUCUUUGAGUAAUUGUGUUUCUAUUUGCAAAGUCAUUUGAGAAAAAACAGAGUCAAUAAGUAUCAUUUUAUUUUUAUCAUUAAUCUACUAUUUUGAGUAUGAAAAUUAAAUCCCACUAACUAGAUCAUUUUCCAGGCUUUGCUAGGGAUUUUAUUUAAAAUUUUGGAGUAUAAUUAAUUUGUUUAUAAGCCUAAGUAGUGGUGAAAGUGAAACACCAAAUAUAUAUACGAGAGUAAAUAGAUCGAAAUAAGCAAAAUAAAUGUUGUCUUAUCGUCUAUUAUAUGUAUUCACAUCAAAAUAUCUCAAAGUACGUAGACACAUAUACUGAUAUACCGAAAUGUAUGUUCAACAAUGAGGUGAGAAAUGGGAUUUCAUCACAUUAUUCUCUCUAAUUACCACAAUGCAGACGUAAUAUUAUUUUAAUCCAAACGACAGAACCAUACUGGGUGCAGUUACUUGAGGAAGAAGUAACCUGACACAAUCAGCACAAAUGUGAGGAUCACAGCUACGAAACAAAUUCUUUUUGGUAAUUUUCCAUUAUCUUUCCUCAACACCAUAGCCUCAUAGAUUGGCAAGCAAUUCACCACCACGAAGCUCGCCAGCAUCAGCUCAAGGACGAGUCCUUUUCCCCAAGCGAAAAGACCAUAAAGCCCCCAGACAAAAGCAAGGAGGUUCACGAUCGCCGCCGUGGUCAUAGGUAAGAACAUUGUCGAAGAGGGACCGAACUCAAACAUCUCUUUCUCAUACCUCUUGCUCUGUUCUUCAUCAUCGUUGGCUUUGCUUGUGACGUUGAAUCCAUGUGUGGAGAGGUUUAGGGUUUGAAGAGUGAACUCUAUGAAGCCAAAUAGGUGUGAAGAGAAUCCUCUUAUCGACCACAUUCUUUGAUCGUUCCACCAUCCGCGAUAAGUUCCUCCUUCUAAUACAAAGUCGAGUAGAUCUUGCGCAUAUGCACCGAGGAACAAAACGAUGUAAAGCCAAAACCAUGGAUCCGAUGACUUGGGAAAGACGCUAACUCCAUAGAGGAGAGCAAGUUGGGGCAAGAAUCCAUAGACGACAUGAGGAAGUGACCAAAAUGGCCAACAUGCGUAUUGACAAUAGCCUAAUCCCAUUAAUAGACCCAUUGAUUUGACACCAUAGGUAAUGGGGCUAUACCUUGAGAAGGCAACUUCAAGAAGUCCAAUGGCCCAUCUUUUUUGUUGGCUGACUACAUCAAUUAGGCUUUUUGGGGCAUCUCCGCAAAAUGCUGCUCUUUUGGGACUGCAAAAAACUGUUCUCCAUCCUUCACAAUGGAGCCUAUACCCUGUGUAGUAGUCUUCUACUAAAGAUCCGUAUCUAUAUCCAAUCUGCAUAGUUUUGAAUGAUAAUUUGAAUAUACAGUAUAACAAACUAGGAAACAAAAGAUAUUUCGAAUGACUCAUAUUGAAUCGAAGAUCUAUCUUUAGGCUACCCAUUAUGAAAUAUAUUUUUCAUGUUUCAUAUCAAUCAAGACAUCAUAUCAUUCGUUUCUAAAAGUCAACUACUGUUAUCUAAGAUUAGAGAACCUAAUUGCUAUUAGUUCACAUAUGCCAUAUGAAAAAAUAACUAUUUCUAAUUGGUUAACUUAGAUUGAAACUGGUUUAGUUUUGAGUUUCAUUAACUUUCAACUCAAAAUAGAUUAACAAUUAGUGGAUUUAUGUAUAUCACUUCUAUAUUACUUAAAGUCUAUUUUUCUUUAGAUGUGAGGUUCUCUAACAUUAGUUUUCAUGAAAUUUUUUAUAACAAAUGGAAAUCAAUAAUAGAUCAAGGUAAUUGGUGUUGUUUUUAUCUACGAGGGUUGUUUUUAUCUUACCUUUGAUCCCCAAUUGGUGUUGUGCUCGUAGAUACAGCCUGCUACUUUGUGUGCCAAUGCUAAAACAUCUUGAGCGUUGAUGGGCUUAUCUACAGUACGAUUGGGCUUAAGUUCAUCUAUCUCAGGCAAAAUCAAAUUAGACGGAGCCCCAUAAAAAACUCGUCGAUUGAAGAAACAACCAGUUCCUACAUGAUUUGGGCCCAUUAGACCAUCAAACCCAAUCAUACUGAUCUCAAAGAGACGCUUAUAUGCGCAUGCAUAGAUAUCAUUCUUGCUUAUUCCUUGAAAUUUUUGAGGAAACUGUACAUAACCUAAACCAGUAUUGAUUUCAGGAUCCGUUAAAUAGCACAAGGCACGAACUGGUGUUGCAGGAUCGUUCGAAUACAUAUCACAGUCUAGUGUUAAAAUAAUCGGUGCAUUCGUCAUGACUCCAGACACUCGUAGCUAUAAUAAAAACAAAACACGUUAUCUUUAAACUACUGAAAUGCUAAUUAAUCGAAAUAAAAAUCGUUUAAGGUAUUAGGUUUAGUUGAUACCAAAGUAUUAAGAGCACCGGCUUUGAAAUGAUGUGGUGAAACUUUACUCUUCUCUCUUGAAACAUAUAUUAGGUUUGGCAUUAUAUACUUUUUGGUAGUGUCCAUAUCUGUCUCGCUAUUUUGUAGCACCUGUCCUCAAAUUAAUUGAAAUUGAGAUUUUGUUUACUUAAAAUAAUAAUGGCACAGUACAAUUGUUAAGUAAAUAUAUUCAAAAUGCAAUUUUCAUUAUGAUAAAUAGUAGUGAGAAAAGAAUAUUUUAAGUUUUUUUUUUUCUUUAUAAUUACCUG
rnacentral:lncRNA from 1 species